rnacentral:rRNA from 1 species
UUAAAUGAGAGUUUGAUCCUGGCUCAGGACGAACGCUGGCGGCGUGCCUAAUACAUGCAAGUCGAGCGAUGAUUGAAGAUAGCUUGCUAUUUUCAUGAAGAGCGGCGAACGGGUGAGUAACGCGUGGGAAAUCUGCCGAGUAGCGGGGGACAACGUUUGGAAACGAACGCUAAUACCGCAUAACAAUGAGAAUCACAUGAUUCUUAUUUGAAAGAAGCAAUUGCUUCACUACUUGAUGAUCCCGCGUUGUAUUAGCUAGUUGGUAGUGUAAAGGACUACCAAGGCGAUGAUACAUAGCCGACCUGA